CAUAUUUUAGAGCCAAAAUCACAACUUUAAAAUCAAAAUUAUUACCUUCAAAUCCACCUUCAAACUUAAAAUUUAAACCAAAAUUAUCCAUAUAAAUAAAUUUAUUGUAACCCAUUUCUUCUUAUUUAUAAACUGCACCUUGACCUGAAUUCAGUUUUAAUAAUAAACUAUGAAUAUUAAAAUUCUAAUGAAAUAUUCAACUACGACGAUAUACAAAUUAAUUAAAAUAAGUAAAUUAAAUCGUGGAUUAUCGAUUACAGAACAGGUUCCUCUGAAAAGACUAAAAUACCGCCAAAAUUUUUAAUUUUAAAGAAUAUAACUAAUAAUAAUUAAAUAUUAAUAAUUUACACUUGU
rnacentral:rRNA from 1 species